rnacentral:rRNA from 1 species
UAGGGAAUCUUCCACAAUGGACGCAAGUCUGAUGGAGCAACGCCGCGUGAGUGAAGAAGGUUUUCGGACCGUAAAGCUCUGUUGUUGGUGAAGAAGGAUAGAGGUAGUAACUGGCCUUUAUUUGACGGUAAUCAACCAGAAAGUCACGGCUAACUACGUGCCAGCAGCCGCGGUAAUCGUAGGUGGCAAGCGUUGUCCGGAUUUAUUGGGCGUAAAGCGAGCGCAGGCGGAAGAAUAAGUCUGAUGUGAAAGCCCUCGGCUUAACCGAGGAAUUGCAUCGGAAACUGUUUUCUGAGUGCAGAAGAGGAGAGUAGAACUCCAUGUGUAGCGGUGGAAUGCGUAGAUAUAUGGAAGAAUACCAGUGGCGAAGGCGGCUCUCUGGUCUGCAACUGACGCUGAGGCUCGAAAGCAU